UACAGAGGUCUCGAGCGUUAGGCGGAAUCACUGGGCUUAAAGCGUGUGUAGGCGGAUCGUUAAGUGCCUUGUGAAAUCCCACGGCUCAAACCGUGGAAACUGCUUGGCAUACUGGCGGUCUUUGAGCAACCUAGGGGCGAGCGGAACAAAUGGUGGGAGCGGUGAAAUGCGUAGAUAUCAUUUGGAACGCCAAUGGUGAAAACAGCUCGCUGGGGGUUUGCUGACGCUGAGACACGAAAGCCAGGGGGAGCGAACGGG
rnacentral:rRNA from 1 species